CGUAUGGUAAUGAACUUUCAUUGUCACCUUUCCACCCAGGAUGAGACACUUCCUGCUUUGAAAAGCAUAUGUGCAGAUGAUCAGAAAUCAGAAGAAUUGGGGGAGGAAAACAAAACAAAACAAAAUUCUCAAACAACCACCAAAACCCUGCUGGCAUAUAAGAGCAAAGCCUUAAAUAAGGCAUGUGCGAAAUCAGCCUGUUCUGAAAUCUGUAAGGACCUUCACCUCUUUUAGAUGGAAGUCCUACACAAAACGCGAUGUGAUGAAUAUCUGUGCAGUUGGUUAAUUUACUGUUGAACAACAAGGAACUGAUCUCAGGUGAAAAUGUAUCUUCGAAUCACUUCUCAAGAUGAAAGCGCUGACCUGCUUCACACAGAUGCCAUCGAAAGGAUACUUAGAGUGCUCUGGAAGCUCCACGCCCUCAGCAGGCCUGAAGCGCGCAGCCCAACUUUCUCAUGAACCAGGCUGAUGAAAGACAACGUGGUUUGUUAAAACCUUCAGGCUUGAAGCAGUGUAAAGAGGAGACAGUUCUCUCCUGAGCUUGUGGAGGAAUGUCUACUGGUGUGUCUUCAGUGAUCUCAGCCGAAAAGGGAUGGAAAAGAUAUCAUGUCCCCGUUGGAAGAAGAGAUGCUUCACAGAUGACACAAAAAUAUUGAAAGCGAACAACACUGGAAGGAAUAAAUACAAGGAUAUAUCAUUUCACUCUUUCAACUUUAAAUGCCUAUGGUAAUGGUGGUGGUGGUUUCUGGAAAGAUCCAUUAGAAAAGCAGAGUUGGACUGGAGAGAUGGCUCAGCGGUUAAUAGUACUGCUCUUCCA